rnacentral:lncRNA from 1 species
UUAGUUUUCCUUUUUUUUUCUACCCACCUCCCACAAAAAAAGAGAACGUUUUUUGCUGGACUGGGCUCCCCAUCAGUGUUCUAACCACUAUCCUGCAGUUAUUUCCCUCAUUAACCACAGUGAUGUUUGUGCUCUGUCUGGGAUCCUGAUUUUCAUCUGUCCUUUUCUCUUCUUUGAAAUGCCCUUCCACUCCUCCUAAGUGGAAGUCUCUCUGCUGUCCUUCAGGACGUUGCUGAAAUGCCACCUUCUCAGGGAGGUGCUUACACCUGGCAUUCUGAGGGACAUAAUUGCCUCAUCUAUGUUACAAUCUUUGGGGACUUUAUUUCCCCCUCCUCUGUACAUUGGGAAAAACAGUAGUGCUAAUGUGGAGUUCCCUUGUGGCACAUCGGGUUAAGGAUCUGGUGUUGCCAUUGCAGGGUCUUGGGUCACUGCUGUGGCCUGGAUUUGAUCCCUGGCCCAGAAAUUUUCUCAUGCUGCAGGUGUGGACAAAAAAAAAUAGGGUUAAUUUUAUGGAGAUAUCAGAUUGUAUCAUGAUGGUGGUAUGUUGUAGUGUCACAUUUAACUGGCACAUGUUAGACCUGCAAAGCCCAUUUAUUUAUUUUCUUGCUUGUUUGCUAUCUCUGCAUCAGAAUAUAAGUUUCAUGAAAGCAGGGAUUUGUAUCUUUUUUGUUUCCUACUCUAUGUUCUCCAGGGCCUAUGACAACACUUGGCAUACAAUAGGAUUCUGAUGAACCUUUAUUGAAUGAAUGAAUGAAUAAAUGAAUGAAUAAAAGACGGAAUAACAAACCUAGGAUUUCAGGCCAACCUAAAACAUUUCUAGCCCAUCAUACUGUGCUUUUAUCAGUCCGACAAGAGCCAUUUUCUCCAUCACUUGCUUUAAAUUUCUGAUACGAAUUCCAUUGAGUGUUUCAGUGUGAAAGUGUUCACUACUUAUGUCAGGAGCUCAGAAGUUCCCCCAAAAAGGAAAAAUAGAUUCAAGGUAAUAUUUGUGAUCUGGACACAGAAAUGUACAUUCUAUUCAAAAAUGAAUCCCAGGAAAUGAGCCCAGACAAAACCCAGAGCAGUAGGCAGAGCAGGCAUGCAUUAGCGCCAACGGUAUAAUGACGGUGAUUAUUUUGAGUUAUAAAACACAUUUCUAAUUUUGAUACCAAGGACUCUUGUUGUCAACAUGGAGGAACAUUAUCUUAUUUCACCACUGCAGGAUCAAUUGGGAAAGAGUGAUUCAGAAUGCCAAAUUAUUAGAUAUUGGAAUUUUACCGAGUCAGUCCAGGGAGGCAGCCCCUUUUCUGUGAAUUUAUACAGAAGUUCAGUUAAAAAAUAAUAAGGGCUUGAGAUGGAUUUUCUCAUCCGUAAUAGCCAACACUGAUGCCACUUUCCCCACUCGUAAUGUUUUCUUAAUGAUCCAUUGCUCAUAGGGAAAGCAUAUGAAGAAAGAACUAGUUUUUGAAUAAAGCAAAUCAAGAAUUGAAACAGAUCUGUACCACUUAUUAGCUAAUGGUUCUGCCUCCCUCCUUUUUGAAAUGGUGUAGAGUAGUUUGCCUCAAAGUAAUUGAUGAUAGCUACCAGGCUGGGUGCACACUAGUCCUUUUGCCCAAAAGGUACCCUGUUCCCCUCCUUCUCAUAAUUUAUAUCACUCAAAUGCUACUUCUUCUCCAGGGAACCCUUCCUGACCCUUUGCCCUAGGCUAGGUCUGCAUUACCUACUCUCCUGACAUUGGAUGUCUUUCCUCGUAGCACCUUCUGUUUCAUGAUUUUUCUUCUACUUUCUUUAAUUAAUCCGUGUUCCCUUGUAGACUAUGGGCUUGAUGAAAGCAGGACUUCUGUAAGUCUUUGCUGAGAAUCAUAGACUCACAGUGCCCAGAUGAGAGCUGGCUCUAAGCAAACAUGUGUUGGAUACAUAAAAACAUGUACACAUGUGAAAAUAUAAAAGUGAUCCAAUUACAAAUUUAGGGGUCAUUUCUCCGUGGCCUCUUUUAAGUGCCCUUCAUUCUCCAUUCCUGCCUAGACCCAGGAGGGUAACUGUUUAUAAUCUGUGCUCUGAGUCAUGCUCACAUGUGAGCCAGUUUUCCGCCCCCACCAUGCCCACUCUCAGAGUCAGUGCACGGGCAGAGAUGAUGAACGUGGCCUGUGUGUGGGAACCUCAGCCUCAGGCAGUGUUUAAAUGCUGAUCUAACAAUCACUAUAAUUUCAAUUACAAGGGGAUCUGGAAUGACUUUCCUAUUUUAUACUUUCUCCCCAUUUCCCAGGUCCCCCACAUUUGAGAACAAAAGCAGAACCCUAUCCUCCAGCCCUGAACUCCUCUUAUAGCAAAUCUCAAAGAAUAUAAGCCUUAAAUGAAUCUACUUAUGGCUCCAGGAGUUAAUUUAUAACUUGGUUACAGCGUAUAAGGUGGCAUAAUUCGGCUCACAACAGUGAGUAUAGGGAGAGAUCAAUCAUGACCAUUAUGUGUUUCCUGUACUUCUCCAAAUGCAGGAAGAGCCGUAUUUUUUUCCUUUCUUUUGAUGGAGAAUGGGCAGCCUGCUAUCAGAGCUGUCUGAGGGCUCAAGAAAUGAUACAAUCCAUUGUUCCCAAAACUCAUUCAGAGUGUUCUAAAAUAACAGUGCAAAAGAAGUUUCAUUUUUUUUCUUUCCUUUCUACUUUUCUCUCCAACUUCAUAACUUGAGGACCUUCAUAACUUGAGGACCUUCAUAACUUGAGGACUGUAACAGGUUUUUAUGAGACUUGUUUUAAACCCAACAAGAUUAUGUAGAAGCAAGAAUCCAUAUAUUCAUAAUGGAAAGAGGAUUUAGUGGGAAGGGCAAAGACCAGGGUUAAGGAAAGCACUCAUCUUGGACACAAAAUAUAAAGAGAUGCUAAAACUCAGUAAUCGAGAUAAAUAGUGUUUUAAUGUAAUAUUUGAAAAAAAUAAAAAUUAAGCCCAUGCAAGCAUCCAUAAUGAGCAGAAUGUCAACCUUUUAAAUAAAGACAAGAUUAGCAUUACUGAUUUUUUUUUCUUUUGCUUCAGGCUACAUUAUUUUUCAGUGCAGCAAGCUUUUGUAAAAUGAAACAUUUUACAUUAAUUUUUACUUUUAAAAGUAUUGCAUAUGAAAUUACUUAUCUUGAUUACUAAUAUUUUUUGCCUUAGAUAUGUGUUUUUAGCCUUUUCCUAGGCUAGCCUUGGCUCUGCUGAGUGGAAAGAGAAUUUAGAAGACAGAAAUGGUCCCAGAUGCACCUCGUAUAAGCAGGAGACCUUAGGAAAAUCGCAAAACCUCUGAUUUGCCUUAACUUUCCUUUCAGCAUCAUUCACAGUGCAUGUCAACUAUAGAUGCAGCCUCAGCCAGCAUCUGAGCCAGUUUUCAUUGUAUCUGUGAAAACGUAGUCAAGGAAGACUUAGAGUCUCAUCAGCAGAUGAAUAACAUUAAAAUAAUAUUAAUAAUACCUGGCAUUGGAGUUCUCAUUGUGGCACAGCGGAAACAAAUCCGACUAGGAACCAUGAGGUAGUGGGUUCCAUCCCUGGCCUCACUCAGUGGGUUAAGGAUCUGGCUUUGCCCUGAGCUGUGGUAUAUAGGUCAUAGAUGUGGCUCAGAUCUGAUGUUGCUUUGGCUGUGGCAUAGGCUGGCAGCUGUAUCUCUGAUUGGACCCCUAGCCUGGGAACCUCCAUAUGCCAUGGGUGUGGCCCUAAAAAACAAAACAAAAAAAUGAUUUAUCCAAGUUUUAUUCUGGGCACCUUUAAAUAUGAAAUAAUGAUUAAAAAAAAAUCUAACUAAUGCGCUUUAUUUUUUUUCUCCAGCCCUAAAGUUUUACUUUCCCCAGGAAGGAGAUGGCUGAGGCAAUCAAUGGAUGUAGUCUGUUGGAGCAAGACUUGCAUCUCCAAAUAAUGUCUUCAAAGUGCCUCGAUUGAACAUAUAUACCCAUCAGCCACAAACAUUUUCCCACAAGACCAGGAUCUCUGCCAUCUCGCCCCUAGUUUUCUGUUUUGGCUUUCCAUCUACGUCCUUGCCGGGCUGCUUCUAUUUUGAACCAAGUCCGCUUUUGCCUUUCCUCUGAUCUGAUUGCAAAUUCUGGCCAAGGCUCUUUCAGUACCCUCAGUAUCAGAGUGCAUUUUGAACCAGAUGCAACAAGCCAUCUUAACUCAGCAAUCACGGUCAUACAAUGAUAUAUACAGGGGGUUGGUUCCAGAACUCCCAUAGAUACAGAAUCCACAAAUGCUCAAGUCUUUUGUAUAAAAUAGUGUAGUGUAUAUCUAUUUCAAGAUUUAUUGAUUUCAAAGGAAUUCUUGAUGCCACAUUUCACCCACCACAACCUUCUUCAUGGACCUUUUGGUGUUAGGAUAAUGGAUGAACUAUAUCAGAAGAGGCAAGAGUCAAUAGAUUUCAGCUUAUAAUACAUGCAUCAUGAAAAUCCAAUGAUCAUGAAAAUCCAAUGAUAGGCAAUCAUGCUGCAGAGUUUGAGGAUGAACCGCAACAUACAUUACCAAAUCACAAAGGUGAAGUGUGAACACUGGUAUUUACAGAAAUUGUCCAAGAAUCUCCUUCCUUGGGCUCGGUGUUCAUUCCAUCCCACUCCGUCUCUCUAUCCAGAACUCAUAAGAUUGAAUUUUUAUACAUUUUAUUCCUAACACUAUUCUCAAAAUGUGUUUCAAAGAAUUUUUGAUUCAUAAAUUGCCCUGGAGUGAGGGAGUCAAAUAAUUUUGGACAACGCUACCUACUGUAACCCAUUCUUGGAGAUUCAAACGUUCAUUAGCAUAGUAAAGGCUCCAAAAAGUACCGCAGUGGAGAAAGUGUUUAACUUUUUGAGCUCAUCAAUUUCCAAUUGUAUUUGCUCAUCAUAUUUUUUUUUCAUAAAACCUAUUUGUAUCCUCUCAUGCCUUGUGGAGCCCAAGAGUAACCCAGGCGUUGCAAGCUGUCCACCUCUCCCACCUCUGCCAUCCCAAUAGCAUCCUCACAGUCCCUUUAGGAAGGGCUUUGUCCUAUAGCCUGCCAUGACAGGUAUCAACUCCUUUAAAACAAGGGACAGCUGUUAAAUCAUUUGGGAUAUACUUCUGUCCUUCACCAGAGGACAUUCAAAAGCCACUUUUUGGGGAGUCCUUCCUCUGAGCACAACUUUAAGUUCAUCCACCUGUCCACCCCCUGCGUCCAGCUAUAGCUCAGAAAGUUGCUCCUUCUUAAGUUUUUAAGGUUUAAGAGUGAUCAGCACAGUCAUCACACUCCUUGUACUUAAGAUGGCCUCAGAGUCCCCCUUCGUUAAAACAUCCAUGUGGGGGGCCCUCAAUAGUUUCUGAUUUAGCAAGUCUGGAGUGGGGGCCAAGAAUUUGGAUGACACAAAUUCCAGGAACACAAACAAACCAAAAAAAAAAAAAAAAAAAAAAAAAGCACAAUUGUCUGUCUCUCAGGACAAGUAAUCUGAGGCCUACCUGAAUGCAGCACUUUUGUGAAGUAAACUAGGAUACAGGAAGAAAAAAAAAUAGAAUUCUAGUUAUAUUUUCAAUUUAAAAGUAAGUUGUGUGAGUAUCACUGAUGUGGUUGAUAAUGUAUCUUGUGGGGCAGGAGGUGAAACUGAGAUUUAAACAACUCAAGGGGACUGAUAGGCAGUCCCACUAAUUUAUUCAAUUUUAGUACAUUUUAUUAGUUAGGAUACUGGUUUAUUUGAUAUAAUGAAGACCAAAAUAUCAAUGACUUCUUAAAAAGUUCAUUUCCAACUGCCCCAGCUGUGUCACCCUGAACUUUCCAGGGCUGAAAUAGCAUCCCUGGGGCAUGGAAAACCCAUGACCUUAGAAUAGGUUGCUCUGCCAUUCUGAGCGUGAGGCUUCCCUAUGGUGAACAAGGGUGUCUGCUUCAUCUUUUGCAGAAAAUGGAGAUCAAGAGAAGGAAUGAUCACUUUCCUUUUCUAUUUAAGUUGUGUUCAUCAAUUUGUUUGUAUCCCAUUAGCCAAAAUCCAGCCAAGUGGUUGAAUUAGCUUCAAGAGAGACAGGAUACCAUAAUCUUCCCACCCACCUAAAACUUCUUUUUUUUUUUUCUAUACAAAACACAAAUAACAAUGAGGCAGGGGGCAACCAACAAUCUCUAGUGUGCAUAUUGUAAUGCACUGGGGUGUAUGUGUUCCUGGCUAAUUGUAUUUAUAGGUUGUGUGAUCUCCUGUCAACUACACUAACACCCAGAGAGUAAACAAGCAUUUGUCAGGGUUUCUGCAAGAAAUGACUAGUUGAAAAUAAUUCUGGUAACAUAAGCAAAGCACACGUGAACGAGAAGAUGGCAGGA